GGCUCCUGGUGUCACAGGAGAGAGCCCAGAAGGACAAACGUGUGUGCUUUCUCAGGAUGAUGUUGGGAGAUGUGCUUCUUCACAGUGAGGGAGAAAACCAAGACCGAGGAUGACUCAGGAUUGAGGGGACGGGACUCAGUGCGAGCAAGAGGUCCUGGGAAUGUUGGUGACUGAUGCUGGAAGAGAAUGAAACUGUCCAAAGUGCUGAGCGCAGUGCCUGGCCCAUGGAAAACGUUCUGCAAACAGACAGCAUGACGAGUAUUAAGUACUCAGCCCCGAUGGCCCAGUUAUCUAAAGCACUUAAGGAGAGAGGUGUGUCAUCAGGAACCUUCAGCACAGUGAGCCUCGGGCCCUGUAAUGACAGAUGAAUGACAGAGGCGGGAUAGCUGGGCGUCCCUGAGCACUAGAACUGGAGGCAGACCACCUGCUGGACGUCCCCCACCAAGCGGUUUUCUGCGUCUCUCUCGCCAGUGAUAUGGAUGUCAUGGACGUGGCAGUGAUGCUCGUGGUGUAGACAGACCCGCUUCCCUUUCACCCCGUCUCAUCCUGGGCUCCACACCUGCAGUUGCGGC